UACGCAGGGGGCUAGCGUUGUUCGGAUUUACUGGGCGUAAAGCGCGUGUAGGCGGGGCGUUAAGUUGGGGGUGAAAUCCCGAGGCUCAACCUCGGAACUGCCUUCAAAACUGGCGACCUGGAGCAAGAUAGAGGCAAGUGGAAUUGCGAGUGUAGAGGUGAAAUUCGUAGAUAUUCGCAGGAACACCAGUGGCGAAGGCGACUUGCUGGAUCUUUGCUGACGCUGAGACGCGAAAGCGUGGGGAGCAAACAGG
rnacentral:rRNA from 1 species